rnacentral:rRNA from 1 species
UACGGAGGAUGCAAGCGUUAUCCGGAAUCAUUGGGCGUAAAGCGUCCGUAGGUGGCUGUUCAAGUCUGCUGUCAAAGCACAAGGCUUAACCUUGUAAAGGCCGUGGAAAGUGAAGAGGCUAGAGUGCGGUAGGGGUAGAGGGAAUUCCCAGUGUAGCGGUGAAAUGCGUAGAGAUUGGGAAGAACACCGGUGGCGAAAGCGGUCUACUGGGCCUGCACUGACGCUGAGGGACGAAAGCUAGGGGAGCGAAAGGG